rnacentral:rRNA from 1 species
GAUGAACGCUGGCGGCGUGCCUAAUACAUGCAAGUCGAGCGAACAGAUGCUGAGCUUGCUCCUCUCACGUUAGCGGCGGACGGGUGAGUAACACGUGGAUCACCUCCCUAUAUUUCGGGUAUAACUUCGAAAAUCCGGAUCUAAUACCAGAUAAUAUCUUGCACCGCGUUGUGCAAUGGUGAAAUACGGUUUUUCUGUCUCUUCUAGCUGCUUCCGCGCGGCAUUGGCUGGUUGGUAAGGACACGGCUUACCAAGGCUACGAUGCGUAGCCGACGUGAGAGGGUGAUCGGCCACACGAGAACGGAGACACGGUCCAGACUCCUACGGGAGGCAGCAGUAGGGAAUGUUCGGCAAUGGGCGAAAGCCUGACGCAGCAAGGCCGAGUGAGUGAUGAAGGCCUUCGGAUCGUAAAACUCUGUUAUUGGGGAAGAACAACUGUGGAAGUAAAUGUGGACGUCGUGACGGUACCUAAUAAGAAAGCACCGGCUAACUACGUG